rnacentral:rRNA from 1 species
GAUGAACGCUGGCGGCGUGCCUAAUACAUGCAAGUCGAGCGAACAGACGAGGAGCUUGCUCCUCUGACGUUAGCGGCGGACGGGUGAGUAACACGUGGAUUACCUACCUAUAAGACUGGGAUAACUUCGGGAAACCGGAGCUAAUACCGGAUAAUAUAUUGAACCGCAUGGUUCAAUAGUGAAAGACGGUUUUGCUGUCACUUAUAGAUGGAUCCGCGCCGCAUUAGCUAGUUGGUAAGGUAACGGCUUACCAAGGCAACGAUGCGUAGCCGACCUGAGAGGGUGAUCGGCCACACUGGAACUGAGACACGGUCCAGACUCCUACGGGAGGCAGCAGUAGGAAAUCUUCCGCAAUGGGCGAAAGCCUGACGGAGCAACGCCGCGUGAGUGAUGAAGGUCUUCGGAUCGUAAAACUCUGUUAUUAGGGAAGAACAAAUGUGUAAGUAACUAUGCACGUCUUGACGGUACCUAAUCAGAAAGCCACGGCUAACUACGUG